ACCUUGCGACCCUCCAGUGUGUAGAGCUUCCUGAUGUGGUACUGCAUGAGCUCAGAAACUUCCUCUAAGAAAAGCCCAAAACUGCGUAGACUCCUGCGGUGCAAGAUGAUGGUCUUCCGAAGUGAGGGGUCGCUGUUCUUCACCAGCAUCACCCUCUUAUUGUACCUGUGAUGAUGAAUGUGUCGGUUGUGGCCUGAAUGUGCCUCCUCGGGCCUGGCUGGCCUCCCGAGAACAUACUGGUGUGGAUGAUAGUGAUGAGACGGUGUGUGAGUGUGAUACAAAGGUGAAACGUGCCUAUCUAAUGCUUCCAGGGCCUGGGCGUGUCUAUACUCAGAGCAAAGAUAGCAUUCCUCCAGAGGUUUGUGGUGGGCCACCAUGCCAUGUUGGGGGAUCCUGGGGAGGCGGCCAGUGUGAUGCUUGAAAGGGCAGAGAAGACUUGUGGGUCCCCUCACCUCCUACAGCAUUGAAGCACUGAAAGUUUCGCUUGUGUGAAGACAUCCUGGGUGGUAGGCUCUCUGCUCUGGAUGAAAGAUGGUCUCACAUGAGCAGAUGAAAGCAACAGUGGCAGAGGGUCUUCAUGUUUCUCCUGAGCUGCCUAGGAAAAGGUAAUGAUCUUCAUGAAGUGAUUUAAAAAUACAAUUUGGAAAAAAAAACUGCCAUUAUGAGAGCCGUCCAUCCUCCAGUAAUUCAUCUAUACCUUCUAUCUAUCCCUCCAACCAGAGAAAGAAUAGGGAAGCUCCCGGAAUAGUUAAUCUGUCCCUGUACUUUAAUUUAGAUAUCCCCAAGACAUAAUGAGGAACCAAUUUAUGUCGAAGGACUUCUGCCAACGCCAUGGUAAUGUGUACAGGCUUUACCUCAGUUCACUUUUUAACCUUUACCUCAGUGAGGUCACAGGGAGGGAGUUUAAAUAUAACCAAGAGAAGGAGCCAUUUACAUACACACAAAGCACAUUUACAAAAUCCCACAGUAGCCUGCUCCUGCUCUGGACAAAUCCUGCGGUACUUACAGAGAACCUCUGGAGAUUGCUAAUUUAAGCAUUCUGUUAUAUUCAUCCAUUUGCAAUUUUGUCUGAUUUAUUUAUUUAUUUUUAAACUGUACAAAUUGGCAAGUUUAGGGUUUAGCCAAGCAGAUGUAACAGAGUUGCGCUUAUUUCACUAUAUCACUUCCAUAGAUAUAAUUUUUAUGUCACAUUAAAUGUUAAAAUGGCAAGCAUGGUUAACGUGUGUGUAUCUGUGUAUGUAAAUGCAUAACCAUUUUUAUUUUCCAGAAAUAUAGUGUAUUUCUACAGCAGCUGACCUAAGACAUGAGGGCUGACAGUCUUAUUAGUGAGAGCCAGUGUAAUUUGUAAUUUAAAAAUAUGUAACAUGAUCUUAUUGCCUCCUGCUCUUAAAUCCACUUACCAGUGGCCUAAUGUUUCUAAUAGUGCAUUUUAAUCCUUGCAGACCUUGAAUUUUAAAAAAAGUAUGUAUCUGUCAGAAGUGGGAUUCGAACCCACGCCUCCAGGGGAGACUGCGACCUGAACGCAGCGCCUUAGACCGCUCGGCCAUCCUGACAGUUGUUCACAAAGGAACAAACUUCAGUACAUAUCAUGUAUCUGUGAUAAACAGAAACACGAUAUUUUCAACAUUUAAAAAUAGACUAAACGGACCCACCGUGCAUAUGAAUACACACAUAAAAAGUUUAUGAGUGCUUCUUUAGCUCGGCUAGCUGAUAAGACAAUUAGCGUGGAUGUAGCCACAGCACAGGAAGCUAACGUUUAGGAUGAAAUACCGGAAUUCCUGUGCAAAGGUAGGAAACCGACAGUCCCGGAGAACGAUGUGUAACACGGAAUAGCGACUCUGUGUCUUGACGUUGGGGACAGAUUAACUACCAGUCGCUUUAUGAAGAUUUCUGAAGGCGGAAGGGCUUCAGGCUGCGGUUCCUCUCAUGCCCGCUAGAUGCUGAAAAAUGCAUCAAGUCCUCAAACCAACGGAAAGUCCGUCACGCUCACACCCAGGUAGUAUUCAACUGUAAUUCUGUGUACCUAUAGCACACUGGCCACAGUUAGGAGUGACAGAAGUUAGACCAAACUAACUCCCUGUAUUAAAACAUUGUAAGCUUUUGAGUGGUUUAAAAGUAAGACAGAUUCAUUUUCGGUUAUCAUUCCCUACUGCUGUCGACUAAUUAGGAGCUAGACUUCAACAAAAGUAAACAGCCUCUUAAAAGUCACUAGAAUUUCAUACCUGUGUUGUUUGAAUAUAGUGUACUGACAUGAGAAUACAAAGUUGGGUGGAAAAGUAGACACACAGUGGUGAAGGAUAUGUCUUGAUUGCACAUGGACUGCACACAGCUGGACCUAAUUAACAGAGUAAUUGCAUCAAAAUAACUUAUGAUACUUAAACAGGUAUGUCCCACCAAAAUGUUCAUGUAGAGGAUGUAGAACAAUUUAACCUAGCCUACAUUUCUUAUGUUACUGAUUAAUAUAUAUGUUGAGAGGCACUCCUGCCUGUGGAGUUAAUAUCCCACUACUAAGCAGAAACUGUUCAGUUUAUAAAUGGCAUAAGUUAGCCUAUAAGGUCAUGAGAUAUUGUAAUUAAUGAGUUUUUAUAGAUUCUUAGUUUCAAACACCUGGGAAAACUGCCCUGUGAAAGUGCAAACUGUGUAAUAUUUUGCAGAAGCAGAACUGACCAAACUACUACAGGGUCAAGACUUACGUCUUUAAGGAAACGGGGCCGUGCAUCCAGCAGGAAGGGAUUCCUUCAAGCUCAGACAUCAACAACAUCCCGAAUAUUACACCCAUAACGUAAGGUUGGAGGAAUGGAAGUGUGCAUGGAAAUUAUGCCAGAGUAACCCGUUGCCAAGGUCAGUUAAGAGCAUUCUUACCCAGAAAUUUGGAGUGUAAACAGAGCACAUCAAGGCAGCGGAAAUGCUGUGUGUCAUGGCUGACGUACUUUAUCUCUGAAUAAGCAGCAGUAAAUGAGGUUUGUUGUUCCCGUAUGUAGGAACUUGCAUCACUGAUAAGUCAUUACAGAUCUUAGAGUUCUCAGGCCAUGGGUGAUGGAGACUUCAAUUUUAAUUCUAGUCAGAUAUGUGGGAAUAAUACGAGUAAUAAGAUCAGAAUUUUUCAGAGCCAAGUUAUCAUCUUAGAUUUUCUUUUGUCUGUCCAUCAGUCAAAGAUAUACAGUUUACAAUAGUUUAAGAUGAGAAAAAAGCUAUCACACCUGCUGAUUUGAACUGAGCUUUGUCAUUUAUGUUUGUUAUAUAUAUUUGUUUAUGGGGAGUAUUGCUGAGGUGCAUUGUCGACUGCUAUUUUUUUUGAAUGAGCAGUUGUUGAUGAUGCAGCAAAGUGAUAUAAUUAUUUUUUUGAAAUCUGAUGACAUCAAAGAUUCGCAGGCAUAGUAAGAAGUCUCACUUCUCCCUUAUAAUUGACUCUUCACUCACCAAGAGCACAACUAGAUAAAACACUCUAGAGUUUUCAGUUUCAACACCCAUACACAACUAUUUGUUUCAUCGUGUAAAGACGGACGGACAAGGAGACAGAUUUAAUGCACCGCAUACCAUCAUCAUACCUUUUUACAGGCACCAAGUACACAGAGUCAUCUUUCCAGAUGACCUAUCUUGAAACUAAGGCAUAGCUGCCAAUGAGGAGCCAGGUUCCUCUAACCGUUAUGUUACCAAUGACAAUAUCAACAAUGAUCAUGUCGAGAAUGUCAGUCCCGAUGCUGAGGACGACGGGGAAAUCAACCUGCAUUCUGAACAAGAUGACCCACUACCUGGUGGAUCCAGGCAACGAUCUUGAGAAGUAGAUGAUGACGAUGAGGAAAGUAGCAGCAAGAGAUUCAGGUGGUGGGAUGACUUUGCAGACAGUGACUGGGAUGACUCCACUGACAGUGAUGUCAGCAAGUGAGAGCAACGAUACAGAACCAGACGAAGAAGAGGUGGACCAAUGCCCUGCAGUAACCAGGAAGAGGGAAAGAGAUGAGGAAGAAGAAAAUGAGAGUGAAAGAUGUGCCAAAAAAAUCCAGAAAAUAAUACCACAGACACUGUCAUCCCUGUGACUUUAACACGUCCUCUAUGUACAUGACAUCCCUUGCACCAUACAUUACAUGAUCAGCUUCACCCCAACCUCCUCUAUAUCUGCUUCAUACCAGGUUCUAUGUCUAGAGCGUGAAAAGACUGAAACACAAACCAGCAGCACCACCAUCAUUUCACCACCAGGCCACUCUUGGCACCCACCAGAUGACUGUCCCGGAGGGGGAUCCCUCUUUGAGUAAGCCUGCCCAAGGUUUCUUCCUUAUAAGGGAGUUUUUCCUUGUUCUCAUUGAAGGUCUAAGGUUUGGGUGGGUGUAAUUUCUAAUAAUUAGUGUCUUCAGAUUUAUAGCCAUUUCUAAUGCAGAUGUGAGAUGUUUUACAUAGAUUAAAAAAAAAAGAAAAAAAGUAGCCAAAUAGUGAUUAAAGUAACAAAUGGGAAAUUUGGAAAAAACAAAAAUACUACAAAAACAUAAAGGGAAAUCAUUUUAGAUCUUUAAGCAUUAUUGUUAAUUAAUUGUAACAAUCAAUGCUACUGAUUAGGUCAGCCAACAUUCUGCAAAUUCAAUUCUAUUUCCCUGUAGGAUAAUAAAGUUAUUCAACUAAGUUCAACUCUGAUGGGGACCAAUCAUAUCUGCUACAAGUGUUAUAUUGUAGCCAUACAAAUGAAUAUGAAUGAUACUUGCUGAAAUAUUUAAAACUUAAUGGGUCUAAGUAUGUCUCAGAUGCUGUCAUCAGGCAGGUGGUUUGCUUUGUCUAACCUCCACAGUAGCUGUUAAAAGGGGCUCUCUCACACCACUGAACUUAUAACAUCACUCAUCUAAAUCAUUAGUGCGUCUGCUUUUCAGGAUGCAGGCUGAGUAAAGUCUGUUGGUGCAGGACAGUGGGGGGCCGUGCCAUGAUGGCAGCAUGUAGGCCCGUUAAAAUGGAAAAGAUGGGGAGUGACUUAGGAUCAAAGACAUAACCCCCACCCUUCUUGUCUGAGUUAAUGUUAUUUUUUAGAUAAUUGUGAAUGUAAAACAGCAAAAUUUCAGGAGACAAAAUCAGUAUAAAACUUUCCAAACUUUGGAGGAAUUAGCCAUAUCUUUUACAAAAUAAGCGGCAGAUCGCAGCUUUAGUAACCCAAUCAUAAUUAAAUAUAGAGGUCAGAAUUAGUAGUGGGAUUUUUAAAAAAAAUUAUGUAAUUAAUUAGGGGCUUUGAAAUUAAUUAAUCACAUUUUAAUCGCAUAUCAAUAUUUGACACAAGAAUUUUUCAAUUCAAACAGAUUUUGAUAGAUGACUGAAUCAUUAGGAACUGAAAGGAACUUUCUCAGGUGCACUGAGAAACAUUACAGUGUUGUCUGGAGUGUAAAAAUAAAGUACGAAUGAAUGCGUUAUUUUUUUAAACACAUUAUUUUUUCUGUAAUUAAUUAAUCUAAAUUAACACAUUAAAGUCCCAGCCCUAGUCAGAAUAUUAAAACAUUGCAAUAAAUAUCAUAAUAAGCUCAAUUGAAACAUGAAUCAGAAACACAUAAUACCUCUUUCAGUUAUUCCCACAAUACAAGAUCGCACACAGAACAGAUAAGAAUGUUCUAUCUCUUAAAUGGAACAACCACAUUGCAAUUAGGAAGCACAAUAGGAACAUCCUCCUCCACAUUGAGGUGAAGAGUUACACCACCCCUGGGAGAAUCUGCAGCAGUCAAAAACAAGCCAAAUAGCGCUGCAGUGUACAUAGUGGAGACCAGUGCAAGCCAUGCUAUCAAAGAGAGAGAGAGAGAGAGAAAGAGAAAGAGAGAGAGCAAUGGAGGUCAGACUGGAAAAAUAGGACAUG